rnacentral:rRNA from 1 species
CUAAAAAAAUCUUAUAAACAAAUACUAAUAAAAACAUUUUUACUAUACAACAUUUUUAAUAAUAACAAUUAAAGUACUAAAAAGGAAUAAUAAACAAAUUAAAGUAAUGCUUAACCCAUAUACCUUGUGCAUUAUGGUUUUACAAGAACAAAAUUAAAAAUUUAAUCCCGAAUUCUAUGCGAGCUGCUAUUUACAUAGCUAAGAGCCCACUAUCAGUUGUGGCACCAACUCUAGAAAAUGUACUGGCAGAGGCUACAUACCAUACGCGCUAGAAAAUCUCUGGUUUUCAGUAAAAUUUACAAAUAAGCCAUACAGUAUAUAUUCUGUAAUGUAAAAUUAUAGAGGACAAGCCCUAUAAUUAACAGCUAACUAAUUUAAAUAUACUAAUCACUUAAUAGGCUUAAAACCAGCCAAUAACAAUACCUUACCGUAUUAAUCAAUAACAAAAUAUAUUAAACGUAAUACUGCCAAACUAAGCUGAAAUUUAAGUAAAAUUUUUAAACUUAAAAUAUUAUGUAAAAAUAAGUAUUAAGAUUAAAUUAUAAUACACUAACAACAUCAUAUAACACCUAUACAAAUCUUAUAAGAACUCGGCAAUUAUUA